UACGGGGGGAGCAAGCGUUGUUCGGAUUUACUGGGCGUAAAGGGCGCGUAGGCGGCAAGGCAAGUCGGGUGUGAAAGCUUGGGGCUUAACCCCGAAAGGGCACUCGAAACUGCGUUGCUAGAGGGCCGGAGAGGAGAUCGGAAUUCACGGUGUAGCAGUGAAAUGCGUAGAGCUCGUGAGGAAGACCGGUGGCGAAGGCGGAUCUCUGGACGGCCCCUGACGCUGAGGCGCGAAGGCUAGGGGAGCAAACGGG
rnacentral:rRNA from 1 species